CUAUUUUUUAUAUGCCUUUUCAAUUUGGGAUCUUUGAUAGCAAUCAUGUCAUGUAAAUGUAGUAGGGAACUGCAGAAAACAACUUUUGAUUUCCUAAGAUUUUCAAGUUUUUAGGUUUUUUUGGACAUUUCUAAGGUCGUCUCGCCACCCCAAGUACAUCAAUCCCAUUUCUAGAUAUAUCUUAUAUCUUCAUCCUUUAUACCCACUUGCACAUAGAUUGCAGCCAUAAAAUGGAUCCGAACGAGUCCUUCAUAUUGUUGAAGCAUAUGUCUGAAUGAGCGGUGAGUUUGGCAAACACUACAAGAAUUCCUUGUGAUUCCUACUAACAUUUCCUACAAAAAUUGGAUUGGUAGGUGAACAGUGUCAUUUCUGAGCAUUUUCAG
rnacentral:lncRNA from 1 species